CAUCAUGUAAUCAGAACAUUUUCCUGUCAUUGAGAUAUUCUAGUUCUAGCGAUUCUUUAUAGUUUUUGAUAAUUGCAUUAUGUGGAAUAAUCAAGUUGACAUGGUAACUGUAACAGUUUUCUUAUGAAAAUGUUUUUCCCCCAACUCCUUUGUCAGUGUCCGGGGGGUGUAACAUCAUAACCUCCUGCAGAAGCAUUAAUGUGUUGGUCAUAUGAUACAACAGAAUUUCGGUGACAGGAAAGUUUUCUUGUUGCUUGCACAAACUCGUUUAUUCUUACAUUACAGUCCUUAAAAUUAUUGUAUUGAUUCUGAUCAUGAGCUUCCUAGAGCAAGGCGGUGUCGGACGUGUUUAAUUUUGUGUGUAUUGCACAUUGUGUUGUUACUUGAUAAUUUCUUGUUAACCUAGUUUAAUUGUUGAGCGAUCUUGGGUGACUACAUCCAUAGCCUUUGACUAUAUCCAUGCUACUGUAAACCGAAUGGGCGACUGACCAGCUCUCAGCAUGUGCGUCUGGGCUAGGAGCCGCUGUUACUCAACUGGACUUGGAAAUCAUCUGUCCGUCUCUGUCACAGAUACAGGGGAUCACAGGUCCUUGGACAUGAAAUUGAGGACACUGAAAACACAAGUGCUGCGUUUAGCUUGCAGAUGUUAGCGGGCAGUGGCUGUCUGCAGAAGCUCUAGGUUGAGAUCGAUCAAGAUGUGGAAUCAAGAAAACCUGCCUGGGUUUCUUUCCAAGUGAAAUGACUUGCUGUAGUGACGUAUUGCGAGAUGCUGACCUCUCUCAGCCUAACGGUGCCAAGAGCAGCAGUUCAGAAAUGGCAAAAGAGAAGAUGUACUCGUAUUGAACUUUGCCAUUGACCUUGAAGUCACCUUUCGCCAGUUAAAAUGGAGAAGCCAGUGAACUACAAUUGCCUAUAAUCAUUUUGUCAUCACAAUGCCAACAUUUGUGCAAUGACAAACCGAGUGUUUUGUAUGCUAUGAGAGGAAACCUUCAUUGGAUUUCAUGGAGUUGGGCCAAAUUCUGAGAAAUACUUUGAUGACGACGACGACGACGACGAUGACUAAUCUCUGAUUUGGACGAAGUGUUUACAUAGCACAGUGUGCCAAAGUUAUUUACUGUUGGUUCAUUUGUCUCAGCAUAGUUCAAGGAUAGGACAGUGUCAUUGACUGAUGUGAUGAAGGACAUGCAACCCCACCAAGUCCCCUCCCCCAUUUACUUAGGCAUAAUGAUUUUGGGUGGGUUUUUUUUUCUUUUUUUUCUUAUUUUUGGUUCCUCCAAGUCGAGUCUUGACAUUGCAAAUAACGUCAAGGGAGACGUCAUGGGGUCAACAGUUGUACAAGUGUAUAUGUAUGUAUAUACAAAAUGUAUGUCCAUGCAUGUACAUAUAUACACAUACAGUUGCAGUUAAUAGUGAUUUGGUCAACUGUACAGCGCUUGUAUUUGUUCAUUGUUUUAUAGAUAUGGCAAAAGGUUUACUUUGAAUGAGGAAAAAAAUUAACUUAAAUAAAACUUUAUAUAUAUAAAAUCGA